rnacentral:lncRNA from 1 species
GGUCUGAAGAGAUUAGAGCGGUUGGGACAAUCCUGGAUUGAAAAGUUUAGCCUACACUGGUUUAGAACUCACAUGCUUCUAGCCUCUACCACCACUUGCUGAGAUUCAAGACUUCUUGAACAGCCACUACCAUAAAUGCUCUGGUCCAUCUCGUACGUGUUCCCGUGUUGCAGGCGGCUGUUGGGUAUGUACAGCUACGCAGGUCUUUCUGUAAUAACAAUUACAGCAGAGCCUGUUGGUUUUACAACAAAUGGUGUCAACACGGUCCUCUCUCACCCCCAUCCCUUACAUCAUCCCCUGUGGUGCCAACUGGAUACUCCAUAUCUGUCCUUUUUGAUGUUAGUUUCUCUAGAACUGUUUUGGCGCCAGACUUUUUAAUCAUGAAAGACAUGUUAC